UCAUGAGCUGGAGCUGGUAUACAACCAUGAUCAAGAGUUUAAUUGUGUGGAUCAUGCAUGCUAUUAGCUUCUGCCUGCCAGAUUGUACGUCUCCAUACGUACACGCGCCAUCUGUUCUUCCUUCUCACUACAUCAUCUCCCCGGCCGGUCUCCCGCCCCUUUAUAAACCUACCUACUCCCUUCUUCUAAUAGUGUAUUUCCUACCUCAGAUAGCUGGGAAAACUAGCUAGCUAGUCGACCGCGCGCCAUUUGGGAAAGCUUGUUUGAUCGAGGGAGCUAUAGAGGAGAGCAUUUGUUGAUCGCCGAAGAAAUUAGGCUUCGUUGUUGUUUGUUGCUGCCGCCGGCCGCCGGGGAUCGAUAGAGAUAUCGGAAAUUGUGGAUCGAUGGCGAUGCCGUGGGACAUGGCGGUGUGCAUCGCUUGCAACGUGUGGGUGCUGCUCGACGGCUGGGUCUCCACCUGCUUCCUCGCCGCCGACGAGGUCGCCCGCCUCCUCCGAUCCGCCACACAUUGAGUUAAUUAACCAGAGGGCUCAAUGUUGAUAUAACUGCUGUGGAGACUGUUCAUUUUCAGUACAUGGUCUCCAUCACAUGCAAAUAGCAAAUUGUCAAUACAUGUUUUCUUCUGCUUCAAAAUCGUUGACACAAAGGUGUACAGUACAAGAGAAGGAUGUACUCGAAUUUAAAUGAGUUGUACAUGUCCUCUGAUUUACAUGAACAUCUUGUGUAUAUGUUGAGAGUCCCUUCGCGAAUGAAGUUGACGACUCCACGGACAUUAUCAACUGGACAGUUGAUUAAGAAGAGUGGUGUAUAUCUAUUCCAAAUUACGAGUUCAGUGACUUCAA